AACGAACGCUGGCGGCAUGCCUAACACAUGCAAGUCGAACGAGACCUUCGGGUAUAGUGGCUCACUGGUGAGUAACGCGUGGGAACCUGCCCUUAGGUUCGGAAUAACUUCCCGAAAGGGGUUCUCAUACCGGAUCAUUUCUUCGUACCAAAGAUUUAUCGCCUUUGGAUGGGCCCGCGUUGGAUUAGCUAGUUGGUAGGGUAAAAGCGUACCAAGGCGACGAUCCAUAGCUGGUCUGAGAGGAUGAUCAGCCACACUGGGACUGAGACACGGCCCAGACUCCUACGGGAGGCAGCAGUGGGGAAUAUUGGACAAUGGGGGAAAGACUGAUGCAGCAAGGCCGCGUGAGUGAUGAAGGCGUUAGGGUUGUAAAGAUAUUUUACCCGGGAGGAUAAUGACAGUACCGGGAGAAUAAGCUCCGGCUAACUCCGUG
rnacentral:rRNA from 1 species